AUUGAACGCUGGCGGCAGGCUUAACACAUGCAAGUCGAGCGGGGUGAAGUGCUUCGGUACUGAUCCUAGCGGCGGACGGGUGAGUAAUGCUUAGGAAUCUGCCAUUUAGUGGGGGACAACAUUCCGAAAGGAAUGCUAAUACCGCAUACGUCCUACGGGAGAAAGCAGGGGAUCUUCGGACCUUGCGCUAAAUGAUGAGCCUAAGUCGGAUUAGCUAGUUGGUGGGGUAAAGGCCUACCAAGGCGACGAUCUGGAGCGGGUCUGAGAGGAUGAUCCGCCACACUGGGACUGAGACACGGCCCAGACUCCUACGGGAGGCAGCAGUGGGGAAUAUUGGACAAUGGGCGGAAGCCUGAUCCAGCCAUGCCGCGUGUGUGAAGAAGGCCUUUUGGUUGUAAAGCACUUUAAGCGAGGAGGAGGCUACCUGGAUUAAUACUCUAGGAUAGUGGACGUUACUCGCAGAAUAAGCACCGGCUAACUCUGUGCCAGCAGCCGCGGUAAAAC
rnacentral:rRNA from 1 species